rnacentral:lncRNA from 1 species
AGGGUUUUCUAUGUACAAGAUCAUGUUGUCUGCAGGCAGAUAGUUUUACUUCUUCCUUUCUAAUUUGGAUGGCUUUUAUUUCUUUUUCUUGCCUAGUCCCUCUGGCUAAGACUCCUGGUACUAUAUUGAAUAGGAGAAGUGAGACUGGGAAUUCUUGCCUUGCGCUGGAUCUUAGAGGGAAAGAUUUCAACUUUUCCUUGUUGAAUAUGAUGUUAUCUAUGAGCUUUUUGUAAAUGGACUUUAUUGUAUUGAGUUCAGCCACUGAAGACCUUAUGAAAAAAGCAGUACGCCAAGAAGGCACACAAAAUCUACCAUCAAGACUUCAACACCAAGGCUUCCAUCGCAUUGUUCUAGAACAAAGCUGCGAGUCUGGAAAUGGAACACAGCAAGGAUGUGCGCCAUGGCUGCUGGGCUGGCAAUUAGUGUCCUCACUUAGUCAGGUAGGAGUGAAUCUUACGGGUUUCUCAGUUCGGGGUCAAUGUAGCUCAUUCAUGGGAAGAAACAUCUUAUAAAGAAAUGAAUUUUUAAAAUUUGGCCAUAUGUUCUUUUGCAAAAUGGAAACCCGUCAUUCAAACACUCAAUGCAACUCAGUAAUGGUAAUUAGUAAUUAUUACAUAAUUAUUAACACAGUUUGCAUGAGAACGAGUGGUUACUCGUGCCUUGCCCUCAGUCCUAUGGCAAGGAACCAAUGCUGAACUGUUCCUGGCCUGGCCUCCGGAGCACUUGUGUACAUGGAGGAAAUUCCAGGUUUCACAGAGGAGGCUAGGUUCUGGGGAUUCGUGUGUACUCGGAAGGCCUAGGGAGGGAGUGAGAUCUGAGGUGACUCUGGGGAAGAAAGCUGUUUGCUGUUCAGCUGAAUACACAGGAGAGGGACGCGGGGUUGCUAACCUAGUUAAAAAAAAAAAAAAAGGCAGGGGUAGGAAGGAUAAGGAAAAAAGUUAGCCUUACUUACAGGAGGAGAAUACGUGGUUUCGGGCCAUUUAAAGAUGAGAUUAAAUGGGAUGGAUUGGAUUGAUGGAAUUUUUCCAAAUCAUUUUGAUCUGGCAU